rnacentral:lncRNA from 1 species
AGAGACUAACCUUCAAAGAAACCAAAAAGCCGCCGUGAAUUCCCACCAUCAUUAGUGGCAGAGCCACCUCAAAUCCACACCAUAUUCACACCAUAACACCCUCUUCCUUCCCUCAUGUCAAAUCAGUCGUUGGUUUUCCUCGAAUUAGUGGGAAACUCGUUGAAUCUUCAAUCAAAUACUAGACAAAAACCCAAACCUUCCCCAAAUCACCCCAAUAUCACACCGUAAAUCCCCUUCUCCCCCUCAUCCCAAAUACCCACCUGGUUUCCCUCAAAUCCCCUUCAAGCUGCCCGAAUCUUGAAUCAAAGAAAAGCCAU